rnacentral:rRNA from 1 species
GAUGAACGCUGGCGGCGUGCCUAAUACAUGCAAGUCGAGCGAACGGACGAGAAGCUUGCUUCUCUGAUGUUAGCGGCGGACGGGUGAGUAACACGUGGAUAACCUACCUAUAAGACUGGGAUAACUUCGGGAAACCGGAGCUAAUACCGGAUGAUAUUUUGAACCGCAUGGUUCAAAAGUGAAAGACGGUCUUGCUGUCACUUAUAGAUGGAUCCGCGCUGCAUUAGCUAGUUGGUAAGGUAACGGCUUACCAAGGCAACGAUGCAUAGCCGACCUGAGAGGGUGAUCGGCCACACUGGAACUGAGACACGGUACAGACUCCUACGGGAGGCAGCAGUAGGGAAUCUUCCGCGAUGGGCGAGAGCCUGACGGAGCAACGCCGCGUGAGGGAUGAAGGUCUUCGGAUCGGAAAACUCUGUUAUUAGGGAAGAACAUAUGUGUAAGUAACUGUGCACAUCUUGACGGUACCUAAUCAGAAAGCCACGGCUAACUACGUG